rnacentral:rRNA from 1 species
AGCCGGCCUGAGAGGGCGACCGGCCACACUGGGACUGAGACACGGCCCAGACUCCUACGGGAGGCAGCAGUGGGGAAUAUUGCACAAUGGGCGAAAGCCUGAUGCAGCGACGCCGCGUGAGGGAUGACGGCCUUCGGGUUGUAAACCUCUUUCAGCAGGGAAGAAGCGCAAGUGACGGUACCUGCAGAAGAAGCACCGGCUAACUACGUGCCAGCAGCCGCGGUAAUACGUAGGGUGCGAGCGUUGUCCGGAAUUAUUGGGCGUAAAGAGCUUGUAGGCGGUUUGUCGCGUCUGCCGUGAAAAUUCGAGGCUCAACCUCGAACUUGCGGUGGGUACGGGCAGACUAGAGUGUGGUAGGGGAGACUGGAAUUCCUGGUGUAGCGGUGAAAUGCGCAGAUAUCAGGAGGAACACCGAUGGCGAAGGCAGGUCUCUGGGCCACUACUGACGCUGAGAAGCGAAAGCAUGGGGAGCGAACAGGAUUAGAUACCCUGGUAGUCCAUGCCGUAAACGUUGGGAACUAGGUGUGGGUCUCAUUCCACGAGAUCCGUGCCGCAGCUAACGCAUUAAGUUCCCCGCCUGGGGAGUACGGCCGCAAGGCUAAAACUCAAAGGAAUUGACGGGGGCCCGCACAAGCGGCGGAGCAUGCGGAUUAAUUCGAUGCAACGCGAAGAACCUUACNUCGUGUCGUGAGAUGUUGGGUUAAGUCCCGCAACGAGCGCAACCCUCGUUCUAUGUUGCCAGCACGUGAUGGUGGGGACUCAUAGGAGACUGCCGGGGUCAACUCGGAGGAAGGUGGGGAUGACGUCAAAUCAUCAUGCCCCUUAUGUCUUGGGCUUCACGCAUGCUACAAUGGCCGGUACAAAGGGCUGCGAUACCGCGAGGUGGAGCGAAUCCCAAAAAACCGGUCUCAGUUCGGAUUGGGGUCUGCAACUCGACCCCAUGAAGUCGGAGUCGCUAGUAAUCGCAGAUCAGCAACGCUGCGGUGAAUACGUUCCCGGGCCUUGUACACACCGCCCGUCAAGUCACGAAAGUCGGUAACACCCGAAGCCGGUGGCCCAACUCGCAAGAGGGGGAGCCGUCGAAGGUGGGACUGGCGAUUGGGACUAAGUCGUAACAAGGUAGCCGUACCGGAAGGUGCGGCUGGAUCACCUCCUUU